rnacentral:rRNA from 1 species
GUGAGGAAUAUUGGUCAAUGGGCGGGAGCCUGAACCAGCCAAGUCGCGUGAAGGAAGAAGGAUCUAUGGUUCGUAAACUUCUUUUGCAGGGGAAUAAAGUGCAGGACGUGUCCUGUUUUGUAUGUACCCUGAGAAUAAGGAUCGGCUAACUCCGUGCCAGCAGCCGCGGUAAUACGGAGGAUCCGAGCGUUAUCCGGAUUUAUUGGGUUUAAAGUGUGCGUAGGUGGUUUGAUAAGUCAGCGGUGAAAGUUUGCAGCUUAACUGUAAAAAUGCCAUUGAUACUGUCGGACUUGAGUGUAAAUGAGGUAGGCGGAAUGCGUGGUGUAGCGGUGAAAUGCAUAGAUAACACGCAGAACUCCGAUUGCGAAGGCAGCUUACUAAGCUACAACUGACACUGAAGCACGAAAGCGUGGGGAUCAAACAGGAUUAGAAAACCGAGUAGUCC